GUCCUUCAAUCACCUUGAAACACACUGUCCAGUAUCACUGCGAGAGACAGACAUUUGGAGGUGACUUUAUCCAUGGAAAGGGAGAAUUAGGAGGGGAAGGAGGCUUAAAUUAACUUAAAUUAUUAGAAAAUCCACCUGGACUCUCAUGUCUUCAACACUCAGCCACCUUUCAGUCAUUCACAGCAUAGAGGUGCAGUCCUGGUUGGUACAAGUUGUUUUGCUCUUACUGCUGUUUUGUUGCAACAGCCUUGCAGCAAGGGGAGCUACAGUCAUGGACCCUUCUCCCCUGGACCUCUCUAAAAGGUCCUCCUGGAUCAUGCUGUGCUGUGCAUGAUUUUGUUAAGCUGGGUUGAGCUGGGCUGGGCUGCAUCACUCAGGUAUAUUUGAUUGGGUUGUAUUUGGUUGCACGAUUUAGCUUGUGUUGGGUUAGGUUGUCACUCGUGUUGGGUUGACGUGGCCAUUUUGGUUGGGUUGAGUUGUGCUCCUGAGUGGUGUAGCAGAAAUGCUAAGUCACAGCUUGAAGCAGUGAUUGAGCACCUGGUGAGAAGACAGGGCCAAUCCAUGGGAGCUCAGGUGCAUGCAACGUACCUGACUGACCAGAAGAGGUGGAGCCAGGAUCCACCCCUUCCCAGACCUCAUUUAAGGGUUGACAGUGGAAGCAAAGUUACUUUGCUGGAGAUCACUCUGUACCUGUGGCUUUCUGAAGGUAAGCAGAUUCUUUCCUUUAUUUCUGUAUCCAUAGCUGCUAUGUUUGCCUAGGACUUUAAUACUACUGUGUCAUUGCUGUGCUUCCCAUCACAUUUAUGGCAUUACAGGUAGUAAUGGGUUUAGCUGUGCUGGACAUUCAGGUUGGGUGGUUGUGCAUCAGAAUGACGCGGUGCCUACACCCACACUGGCCCUUUUUAGUAUUUUUUUGUUCCAGAAGCCACUUCCAGGAAUAUCCCCAAUUUACUCAGACUUUCUUUGUUCUUGCAGCUUGUGUGGAAACUGCUGUGUUUCCUGUAAAACAUUAAUUCCUUGUCCUGAACUGCGGAAAUAUCCCCCAAUUUUUGUCAGUGCAAAGCUAUGCCUAAAGAUUAAACCUGCGCGUACCUUGCACGUCAAGGAAAACAUCACUUGACAUCAGCACCAGCAAUGUGACCUCCAAGAAAUCCCACAAGCAGAGUAGGAAUAGCAACAUCUUGCAUCAGGCCUUUGGAAGGGACUGGAGGAUACACGUGUAGGAUGCAUAGCAGUGACGUGCUGCUGACCUCGUAGCCCUGGGGUGUUGAAGCUGGUGGCCAGGAUUGGCAGGGCCUUUCCCAUGUGGAGGGCUAAUUCUGUACCCUCAGGACCGGAUGAGGUAUCUCGUCAGCAGCACCCGGCUAGGGAAGGGAAGAGCAUUGUGUGGGCUGUUGCUUUUUUUUAAGAACCACUUAUGACCCUGGGAGGAGCAUGUGAGCAAAAGGCAUUGCUGCAAGGACGGGUGGAAACUGGGGAAAACUCCCAGCUCCUGAAUCUCACAGGGAAAUCCCUAGAAAGCUCCCUGGCGCCCCCUUUCUCAACAUACAAACUCCUAUGCAGUGGGAAUCAGCUGGGACCAUAAGCACUGGUGAGCUCCAUGCCACCCUUGCUCCUUGAGGUGAAGAACAGCCCCAUGACCUCGCAGUGGUUGCUGCCCACGCCGUCAGCCAGCACAGGAAGCAUAUCCCCCAAAUCCCCAGUCUCUCCCCUUCUUCUGGGUACUCAGCAGCCCAGGAAGGGCUGGUGACAAAUUCUCAUGGAGGCUGAGAUGCUUCAGCUGUGAGCUCAGUGAGUGACUAACUCGUUCAUCUCCUCUGGGAGCUGCACUGAGCUGUUGGGAAGCAGCAGAGCCCAGCCAGCCUCCUCUGCCUGUUCCAGGCGCCUUCCCCAUUGCUCUCCUGAAGGAGGGGAAAAAAAAAAACCCACAACAAAAGCUUGGAAAACUGAGCUGUGGUGAUAUGCAAUCACUCAGGGAUGGCACAGGAAGAAAGCAGGCUCGGAAUGCCUUAAUUUUGGAGAGGCACGGGUGAAAGUCCAUGCGAGUGCAGAUAUGGUGCCAGGGGUCGGCGCUGCUGAGACUACAUCCCAUGUUAUGAUAGGG
ensembl:lncRNA